UGACAUCUGACUACAAUGAGCCCCUGCCUUGAUAUUCACAUCUUGUAGAAAGGAUUACACAUGACUUUUAGAUUGGAAGACCAAGGUGAGUUUUGGUGGCAGUGGUAAUCUCCAACCAAGUGGUGCCCCAAGUGGACGGCAAUGCGAUGUUUGUUGGUCCGCAGCUCAAAC